rnacentral:lncRNA from 1 species
UUCCUGAAUCUGAUCUUUUGACUUCCACGUUUGCUUCCAUUGUAGAGUUUUCCUAGGCAGCUGAGUAAGAGUCAGUCAGCCAGAGGAGCCACACCAGCUGCUCCAUACCACUAUGUCAAUGCAAAGCAAACCAGAAAAACUGGCUAAGCUGCUAAAGGAAAGUGUUUCCAUGGGCUGGGGAAUCCUCUGGUGGGGCAGUCAGUGCAGGACAAUUCCCUCUGCCAGCACGUGGACUGGAUUACAGAUGGGAUAAUCACAGGUUGACUUGUCACUGAACAACCCCAGCCACGGCAUAUUUCACGGCUCUUGGUUAUUGCAAGGAGUCACAGCAAGAUGCAAAACCUCCCUAGAGGUGUUUAAAAGGCAUGUGGCACUUGGGAACAUGGUCUAGUGGUGGGCACAGUGAUACUGGGCUAACUGGUGGAGCCAAUCAUCUUAAAGCUCUUUUCCAUUCUCAGUGAUACUGUGAUGACCAACACUUAAAUAGCAGGAGGCAAGAUUGCACCUGAGCAUUCACCCCUAACGCUGCAUUGCUUGACUGCUUCAUUUCUCAACUUCAGUGUUGCAUAAACAACUUUUUCUGCCCUGUUCUACAUGCUCACACAUGCACAGAGGCCUUGCUUCUCCAGUCUCUCCCACACAAGCAAACCUCUAUUGGCUUUGCUGGAAAUUUUGCCUAAUGCCUGAAAUGAUGGUGCAUUAUAGGGUUCCUUGAGGUUUACUGUAAUAAUGAGGAUGUGCUUCCCUUUUGGAGAGCUGCCCACUCUCCUUGGCUCAUACAGUUUGUACAUUCUUCUCUGUUCAUAAAAUCCAUGGGACUCACUGAUCUGGGCAAUGCAAAUAUGAGUUUGUACCCCUGAUGUGAGGAUUGUGAUGCAUUCAGGAAAAUGAACUAGCUGUUGAUCAGCCAACCAAAAUUAUUUUGGAUUCUGUAACCUCAGAGCAACCCCUUUUGCCAGUAAUUUCUUGCCCUUUCUCUACCUUGUAAAAAUUUCUUAAAUUUAACUUUUGAGUACAAGCCUCGGAAAAAUCAUGCCAACAGCACUCUGUAAGGUUGUAAUGAAUAAAGCACUUACCUUUCUGUUUUCUGAAUAUCCA